rnacentral:rRNA from 1 species
UACAGAGACCUCAAGCGUUAUCCGGAAUCAUUGGGCGUAAAGCGUACCGAUAGGUGGUUUACCAAGUCAGAUGUGAAAUCUCCGAGCUUAACUCGGAAUCUGUCAUUUGAAACUGGUAGACUAGAGGGGCAAAGAGGAAGCUGGAACGAACGGUGUAGUAGUGAAAUGCGUUGAUAUCGUUCGGAACACCAAUAGCGAAGGCGGGCUUCUGGGUGCCACCUGACACUGCUAGGACGAAAGCGUGGGGAGCGAAUGGG